rnacentral:tRNA from 1 species
CAGGGGAUAGUUUAUUUAAAAUGUUAAUUUUGGAGAUUAAUGAAGGAGUUAGGAUAACUUUUUCUCUGA